UACGGAGGGGGCUAGCGUUGUUCGGAAUUACUGGGCGUAAAGCGCACGUAGGCGGAUAUUUAAGUCAGGGGUGAAAUCCCAGAGCUCAACUCUGGAACUGCCUUUGAUACUGGGUAUCUUGAGUAUGGAAGAGGUAAGUGGAAUUGCGAGUGUAGAGGUGAAAUUCGUAGAUAUUCGCAGGAACACCAGUGGCGAAGGCGGCUUACUGGUCCAUUACUGACGCUGAGGUGCGAAAGCGUGGGGAGCAAACAGGAUUAGAUACCCCUGUA
rnacentral:rRNA from 1 species